CGCAAGCUCGCGAGAGUAAGCUAAUCUCUUAAAGCCGUUCUCAGUUCGGACUGUAGGCUGCAACUCGCCUACACGAAGUCGGAAUCGCUAGUAAUCGCGGAUCAGCACGCCGCGGUGAAUACGUUCCCGGGCCUUGUACACACCGCCCGUCACACCAUGGGAGUUUGUAACGCCCAAAGUCGGUGGCCUAACCUUUAUGGAGGGAGCCGCCUAAGGCGGGACAGAUGACUGGGGUGAAGUCGUAACAAGGUACC
rnacentral:rRNA from 1 species